rnacentral:rRNA from 1 species
UGCCAGCCGCCGCGGUAAUACGGAGGGUGCAAGCGUUGUUCGGAAUUACUGGGCGUAAAGCGCGUGUAGGCGGCCGACUAAGUCAGGUGUGAAAUCCCUUAGCUUACCUAAGGAAAGUCGCUUGAUACUGUAAGUCUAGAGUCCUGUAGAGGAUGGGGGAAUUUCCGGUGUAGCGGUGAAAUGCGUAGAUAUCGGAAGGAACACCAGUUGCGAAGGCGCCCAUCUGGGCAGAGACUGACACUGAGGUACGAAAGCGUGGGUAGCGAACAGGAUUAGAUA